rnacentral:rRNA from 1 species
AGCGAACGCUGGCGGCAGGCUUAACACAUGCAAGUCGAGCGCCCCGCAAGGGGAGCGGCAGACGGGAGAGUAACACGUGGGAACAUACCCUUUAGUACGGAACAACCCAGGGAAACUUGGGCUAAUACCGUAUACGCCCUUACGGGGAAAGAUUUAUCGCUAAAGGAUUGGCCCGCGUCUGAUUAGCUAGUUGGUGAGGUAACGGCUCACCAAGGCGACGAUCAGUAGCUGGUCUGAGAGGAUGAUCAGCCUCACUGGGACUGAGACACGGCCCAGACUCCUACGGGAGGCAGCAGUGGGGAAUAUUGGACAAUGGGGGCAACCCUGAUCCAGCCAUGCCGCGUGGAUGAUGAAGGCCUUAGGGUUGUAAAGUCCUUUCGGCGGGGAAGAUAAUGACGGUACCCGCAGAAGAAGCCCCGGCUAACUUCGUGCCAGCCGCCGCCGUAAAAC